rnacentral:tRNA from 1 species
GUUAAUGUAGCUUAACAACAAAGCAAAGCACUGAAAAUGCUUAGAGAACCUUCCCGGCUCCAUAAACA